UACGUAGGGGGCGAGCGUUGUCCGGAAUCAUUGGGCGUAAAGAGCGUGUAGGUGGACUGGAAGGUCUGGUGUGAAAGCCCGGGGCUCAACCCCGGAGGGUCACUGGAAACCAACAGUCUUGAGUCUGGAAGAGGAGAGUGGAAUUCCUGGUGUAGCGGUGGAAUGCGCAGAUAUCAGGAGGAACACCGGUGGCGAAGGCGGGUCUCUGGGCAGUAACUGACGCUGAGGAGCGAAAGCGUGGGGAGCGAACAGG
rnacentral:rRNA from 1 species